AGAGACGAGAGAGGAGAGGAGCGAUGGCUGAGCUCAGAUGGAUUAAAGCCUCUUGGUUUCUGGUUCUGGUGCUUCAGUUUACAGCAGCAGCAACAGGACAACAUUACCUCUCCUUCACUGUCAGAGAUGGAGAUGAAGUCUCUUUGCCUUGUAAAAGUGUGAUGGAUGAUCAUAAGAACUGUGACUUUCCUGUUUGGAUCUUUGAUGAUUUAAAGAGAACAGUAGCAGUAUAUCUGGUGACAGAAGGGCAGAUUGUUGCUGAAGCCAAAGAUAAAUCAGACAGACUGAGUGUUUCAGAGAAUUGUUCUCUGGUUAUAAAGAAGGUCACCGAUGAAGAUGCUGGUCGUUAUAGAUGCAGAUAUCUCAGCUUAAGAGGAAGAUAUUCUUCUGUGGUUAUUCUGUCUGUUGUGACCAUGACUGAACACAAGGACUCUGAGGAGGUGACGCUGAUCUGCUCUGUGUCCACAUAUAGAACACUAUGUAGACACAGAGUGAAGUGGCUGAUUCAAGGUCCAGAUAUCAUAAACACGACAACAUCCCAGUCUCCUUGCUCAGCCAAUUUGUCAUUUUCAGCUUCUCAUUUCCUUCCGAUAAUUUCCGAGUUGCUCCAGUGUGAAGUGACUGACGGUUACUCUGGAGAGGUGCAGGUGUUUCCCUUCAGCCCGCCUCCGUCCUCAGGUGAAGAUCCAACAACAACAACAACAACAGUUUGGUCCGUCCUGGACUACUGCAUGCUGGUUCUCCGCUUGGCUGAACUCCUGCUGGUGACUGUGGUUGUUGUUCUCCUCGUCAGAGCUGGGGGUGAGGACGUUCUGCCGCUCCACACUGAUCUAACACCAGCUGUACGUUGAGAGCUGAAAGGUCCCCUGUGGUUCUUGUUUCUCUGCAGGGAACCGGAGACCACGUGAUCCCAACACCGUGAGUUAAAAAUCAAAAAGAACCGAUGAAAACCGCCCGGGUCUUGAAACGCAGGUUGUUACCGCGACGCAGAGUUUUCAACUCGGUAAGAAGCGUCGGCCGUUUGAGGCGUCGCAACAACAUGAACCGCAGCUUCAGCUCCACAGGGAUCUGUUCCGCUCCGGGGCGAAGGCAGGGCUCACCUGGACAGGUGGACAGCUCGUCCCGGGUCACAUGCAUAGAGACAGACAACCACACACACACCUUCGUCUCCAAUUAACCCCAGCUGCUUGUCUCUGGACUGUGGGAGGGAACCGGAGAACCCGAAGAGAACCCACGUUGCCACGGGGGAGAACGUGUAAACUCCACACAGGAGGACCGCCUGGGAUCGGGGAUCGAACCCGGACCCCCUGUUGCUGUGAGGUGGCUAGCCCUCGUUUUGUUCUCCAUUGGGCAUCUGUUAGUGGAUUCACCCACAGUGCCCGGUGAUGGAGGCGGCCAUGAAGGCGCCGUGAACUAUGAAAACGUGGGCGGCCCUUCUGUUUGUGUCCGGCUCCCCUGAACGACGGCCUCCACAGCCCACGUCGCCUCAGCAGAGAGAUGCUCCCCUGCAGUUACACGUCUGUUAUUUGCAAGUUGAGGAACCGAUCAACUAAAUUCUCACCAUGCAGCCUGAUAUUAAAGCAUCGUUUUAUCUCAUUUAAAGAAGCAUUUAAAACAACGUUUAAUUUGUUCCUGCAUCAGAAAAUCUUAUGUUUUUAAGAAUUCUUCCACUUCGAUUUGGGCCUGUAGAUUUUUUUCCGAUUGAUUUUUUAAAUUUGUAAGUAGAUUAGCAUGAACUCACUCUCAUGCAGAAUAACUCAUUUUAAUUCACUUUGAUGUGGAAUUGUUGAUUGGAAUACAAUGUGUUUUUGCUAAUGUUAUGCUAAUGCUAAUGCUAGGUUUGAGCUUUGUUUCUUAAUGGCGUCAGUAACAGCGUCGUCUUCAUUAUAACUGCUCGUCAAAUAUUAAAUUAUUCUAUUUCAUUGAAA